rnacentral:rRNA from 1 species
CGGGGCGCGCCCCGGGCGGGGCGGGGGCACGGGGGGAACGCGAAGAACCUUACCAAGUCUUGACAUCCUUUGACCACUCUAGAGAUAGAGCUUUCUCUUCGGGGACAAAGUGACAGGUGGUGCAUGGUUGUCGUCAGCUCGUGUCGUGAGAUGUUGGGUUAAGUCCCGCAACGAGCGCAACCCUUAUUACUAGUUGCCAGCAUUCAGUUGGGCACUCUAGUGAGACUGCCGGUGACAAACCGGAGGAAGGUGGGGAUGACGUCAAAUCAUCAUGCCCCUUAUGACUUGGGCUACACACGUGCUACAAUGGAUGGUACAACGAGCAGCGAACUCGCGAGGGUAAGCGAAUCUCUUAAAGCCAUUCUCAGUUCGGAUUGUAGGCUGCAACUCGCCUACAUGAAGCCGGAAUCGCUAGUAAUCGCGGAUCAGCACGCCGCGGUGAAUACGUUCCCGGGCCUUGUACACACCG